CAGUUCAGCACUAAGUCACUUUGCUUUUAUGGUAAAUGUGAGAUGCAGUGUAUGGAACAUCAUAUAUCUAAUAUGAGAAAUUAACGAUUUAAGUCCUUCUUAAAUGAGGCCAUUUACCCAUAGAGGGUGCCAGGCCCGUAUAACGUUGAUGAUUAUUAGAUGGUGUUUCCAAAGAGUCGUGUUGCUUGAUAGUGCAGCACUAAGUGGGUGGUAAACUCCAUCUAAAACUAAAUAUAACCAUGAGACCGAUAGCAAACAAGUACCGUGAGGGAAAGUUGAAAAGAACUCUGAAUAGAGAGUUAAAUAGUACGUGAAACUGCUUAGAGGUUAAGCCCGAUGAACCUGAAUAUCCAUUGUGGAAAAUUCAGCAUUGCUAUUAGUAACCAGUGUGCAAUUUUUCCACAUAAGGACAUUGUAAUCUAUUAACAAUGUAUAUAUUUAUCAUAAGAUCGCUUGCGAAAGUUUAUUCAAAUUAAUUUGCUUGCAUAUUAACAUAGAAUAAAUGCAUGGCGAUUGGAUAAAGUGUUGAUAGAUUUAUUAUAUAUAGUGCUUAAAUUCAUUCGAAUUUUAUAAUGACAUUUUAAUCAUUGAUUUCAUAUGUUCAUUAUAUGCGCUUAUAUGAUUGACAAUGCG
rnacentral:rRNA from 1 species